AUAUUGUGGUUUCUUUUCGCAUCAAAUAAGUUUUUCGCUUUUUACUAAAGAUUUCCGUGGAAAGAAACAGUUUCGAGUGUUUGCUUAAGUAUACGAGAUUGUGUGUUUUAGCAAGAGU